GACGAACGCUGGCGGCGUGCUUAACACAUGCAAGUCGAACGGAAAGGCCCUGCUUUUGUGGGGUGCUCGAGUGGCGAACGGGUGAGUAACACGUGAGUAACCUGCCCUUGACUUUGGGAUAACUUCAGGAAACUGGGGCUAAUACCGGAUAGGAGCUCCUGCUGCAUGGUGGGGGUUGGAAAGUUUCGGCGGUUGGGGAUGGACUCGCGGCUUAUCAGCUUGUUGGGGGGGUAGUGGCUUACCAAGGCUUUGACGGGUAGCCGGCCUGAGAGGGUGACCGGCCACAUUGGGACUGCGGUACGGCCCAGACGCCAACGAGAGGCAGCAGGCGGGAAUAUUGCACAAUGGGCGGAAGCCUGAUGCAGCAACGCCGCGUGCGGGAUGACGGCCUUCGGGUUGUAAACCGCUUUCGCCUGUGACGAAGCGUGAGUGACGGUAAUGGGUAAAGAAGCACCGGCUAACUACGUG
rnacentral:rRNA from 1 species